ACAUCCAGAGAUUUAGCAGAGAUGCUUUAGUGCCUUCGGGAACUCUGAGACAGGUGCUGCAUGGCUGUCGUCAGCUCGUGUUGUGAAAUGUUGGGUUAAGUCCCGCAACGAGCGCAACCCUUAUCCUUUGUUGCCAGCACGUAAUGGUGGGAACUCAAAGGAGACUGCCGGUGAUAAACCGGAGGAAGGUGGGGAUGACGUCAAGUCAUCAUGGCCCUUACGAGUAGGGCUACACACGUGCUACAAUGGCGCAUACAAAGAGAAGCGACCUCGCGAGAGCAAGCGGACCUCAUAAAGUGCGUCGUAGUCCGGAUUGGAGUCUGCAACUCGACUCCAUGAAGUCGGAAUCGCUAGUAAUCGUAAAUCAGAAUGUUACGGUGAAUACGUUCCCGGGCCUUGUACACACCGCCCGUCACACCAUGGGAGUGGGUUGCAAAAGAAGUAGAUAGCUUAACCUUCGGGAGGGCGUUUACCACUUUGUGAUUCAUGACUGGGGUGAAGUCGUAACAAGGUAAGCGUAGUGCU
rnacentral:rRNA from 1 species